UUUACUGCGGAUACUGGCAGCUCUUCAUCUGUCCAACUGAAUAUUUACUUUUACUCUAUAUAGAGUGAAUUGGAUUCCGCUCAGUUAAUACUGGCAGAAAGAUAACACACUAUAAAUACGUUAAGUUAUUCCCCAAUCUGGUACGUGAAAAAAGUGGUCAGCGCAAUGCAUUUGAUAGAUACAACAAAAACAGACGGCGGAGCACAAAAUCUGACCUUUGCGAUAAAUUCUGAUUGCAGUUCUUUUUCGGACGGGAUCAACUUUGAUGUUAAGCUUAUUCAGCAUGACUUGAGAAUCGUGUCUGCAAACAACGGUUGUACGAUUUCAGAGACAUGAAAUAUGUUGGUUUAUCAUCACUACCUAACAAGAAAUCACAAUAGUCAGUGGAAUUUGCUCAGUUUGAAAAAAGUCACCAGCUUUCAUGUCCAACUCAAAUUCUUCAGCAAACCAGCGAACUAUCCGUACAAAAUUGUUGGGCUGUAUUGUUUGCUGUAUCAAUAUAUAUGUAUGUAAAUGGUUCGGAUCAAUUUUUGGAACUAGAUAACGAUACUUAUCGAAUACGAUCCAUUGGAUUCACCACUAAAUCUACUAACCGAUAAGAUUACAGUCUGGUAACGAAUGGUAAUAUAACGAGUUAUCAAUUAUUCAAUUAGUUUAGACAAGAUGGAUUUUCGGUGUUUGACCCUUUUUCACCCACAACGUUUUUCGUUCUUUUCAAUUGCAAAAAAUAUGUUUACCUAUCAGAGAAGUGUUAAAACAAAAGUUGUUUCUUAAGCCUAGGGCUAAAACUUCCUAAAAAAACAAAUAUAUUUUGACGGUUUUAAAAGUUUUUGAUUAUUCAGUAGUAGUUGACGGGCAUCAGAGAUUAGUCUGCCUAAAAGUGAAUAAUACUAGUGAGUAUAUAAAAUUACUGAUCGGACUGAUGAAGUUUACUGAUUUAACUUAGUGUGAUAUUAAAUAAAAGAGUGAGUGAGAAAGUAAAAGUGUGAGAAAUUAAAACAAAACAAAUAAAACAAAUAAACAAAAAUCAAAACCAUGUAACGUAAAAAAAAGAAUAGAAAAUAACAGCUAAAAGAAAUUAUUUGCCAUAAAUGAUCAUUGAGCGAGUAGGAUAUUCAAGCAAAUUACAAAUUAGUAUAAACUUUUAAUUAAAUAGUAUAAGC